UACGUAGGGGGCAAGCGUUGUCCGGAAUCAUUGGGCGUAAAGCGCGCGUAGGCGGCCCGGUAAGUCCGUUGUAAAAGUCAAAGGCUCAACCUUUGAAAGCCGAUGGAUACUGUCGGGCUAGAGUCCGGAAGAGGCGAGUAGAAUUCCUGGUGUAGCGGUGGAAUGCGCAGAUAUCAGGAGGAAUACCCAUAGCGAAGGCAGCUCGCUGGGACGGUACUGACGCUGAGGCGCGAAAGCGUGGGGAGCGAACAGG
rnacentral:rRNA from 1 species